rnacentral:rRNA from 1 species
GACGAACGCUGGCGGCGUGCUUAACACAUGCAAGUCGAACGGUAAGGCCCUUCGGGGUACACGAGUGGCGAACGGGUGAGUAACACGUGGGUGAUCUGCCCUGCACUUCGGGAUAAGCAUGGGAAACUGGGUCUAAUACCGGAUAGGACCACUGCCUGCAUGGGUGGGGGUGGAAAGCUUUUGCGGGGUGGGAUGGGCCCGCGGCCUAUCAGCUUGUUGGUGGGGUGAUGGCCUACCAAGGCGACGACGGGUAGCCGGCCUGAGAGGGUGACCGGCCACACUGGGACUGGGAUACGGCCCAGACUCCUACGGGAGGCAGCAGUGGGGAAUAUUGCACAAUGGGCGCAAGCCUGAUGCAGCGACGCCGCGUGAGGGAUGACGGCCUUCGGGUUGUAAACCUCUUUCAGCACCGACGAAGCGCAAGUGACGGUAGGUGCAGAAGAAGGACCGGCCAACUACGUGCCAGCAGCCGCCGUAA